AACGAUUUUUACCCCUAGAUGGGGAAAUAUCAACUUAAAAAAAAUCAGUUCUUAUCAGUUUAAUAUCUGAUACGUCCCCUAUCUGGGGACCUUAUAUUAAAUAGAUUUUUCGAACAGGGAGAUGGAAAAAGAGCUUGCUCUGUCCACUCCACUCCCAUCCAGCUCUGUGGUCGGCCAGGAACAUUUU